rnacentral:lncRNA from 1 species
UCUAAAUCAUUUCUCUACCCUCCUCCUUAUCAGUAUAAGUAGGGGCCCUGAGCUACCACUCUGGUUAGCGCAGAAGUCACCCUUUUUGCCCUACAAAAUGUCUCUUCUCCAAGCAACAGUGAGAUGCGGCCUUACUGCCUUAUUCCUGGGGUUCUGCCUACAACUAGUCAUUGGGCAAGAUGAUGAAAACCGGAAGCCACUUGUCCUGAAAAUAAGCCCAAUACCAAGUGCUAAAAGAAAUGAACUAUGGGAAUUAAGAUGUAAUGUUUCAACUGAAGCAAGAGAAUGUGUGCCAAUGCUAAUAUAUCCUGGGACCACCUCAUCCACUAAUUGUGCUUAUAAGGCAUACUCAUAUAAAGCGUGUAUAUGCCCAGGAGACAGGGCAAGAAACUUCUACUGGGACAUAUGCAGCCAAAAUGAUGUAUAUGUGUAUUGUGAAGCUACUACUAUUUUAGAAAAUGGCAUCUGUGAAAAUGGUUACGUGCCGGUAACUCGCUACGUUGUUAAAGAAAACCAAACAUACAUUGCAAAUGACUGAAUUGGACUCCUGUUCUUCCCAUCCCUGGCUGGUCAUGCUACAGAGACAUGCCUUGGGAAUGAACAUCUGAAGCCACUGAGGUCUAUGAGAUAAACAUCCUAUAAAGAAAGCUUCUUGCUUGUCUGGGUUAUUCAAAUCUUGUUUUGUUUUGAUUGCAUUCCUCCCCCACAAUACCUACAAUUAAUGCCUGUAUACCUUAUAAUAAAGUUGAGUGAUCUCAAUAAUAUUUUUUCUUUCUCAUAACAAACACUAUGGAUUUCUAGGAUGUCGUUUUUUUUAAAAAAAUACUUUCAUAGCUAGGUGUGGUAGCCUGUUUCUGUAUUUCCUGCUACUAGGAAGAUCGAGGCUGGUAUAUCUCCUGAGCCCUGGAUUCUGAACUGGGUUAAGUAGAUGGAAUUGGCCCAAGUCAGAAAAAUGGAGCAAAUUAAAGUUCCCGUGAUGAUUGAUAUUAGAAUAAAGCCAAUGUACUUUCAUUUUGGGCAAGAUAGCACAGCUAAUCUAGAA